rnacentral:piRNA from 1 species
UAAGAAUUUCAGCUUUGGGUGCUGACGG